CCCUGGUGGCUCAGAUGGUAAAGAAUCUGCCUGCAAUGCAGGAGAUCUAGGUUCGAUCCCUUGAUCAGGAA
rfam:TPA: Bos taurus chromosome 3, whole genome shotgun sequence.